GAGAGAGAUAUGAUAGUAAUGAGAACUGCUAAUUCUCAAAACCCCGGUUAAAUCCCGAGGCUCCCUC
rnacentral:tRNA from 1 species